AUGUCCUGUGAUAGGGAUAUAUCAAACUCUGGGAACAAUUCCUACAGAGCGAACAUCUUGCACCUUGCCUCGGAUCAGUGUAGUCAACAUGCGCCAACAACAUCAGAUGUUGUGCAAGUGUUCGCGAAGUUCCGUAGUCCUAAUCCAGGACCUCAUACAACAUUAAGUGUGUUAUCUAAUAACUUCAAAGUAAAAAAACCAACUUCAAGAAUAUUAUAUAUGAAGUUGUUGCUUCACACCAUAAACUCCAAAGCUAAAAGAACAAAAAUUUCUUUGGGCUCAAUAUUUCUUAUUUCCAUCAAAUUAAACUUCUGA
rnacentral:rRNA from 1 species